GACGAACGCUGGCGGCGUGCUUUACACAUGCAAGUCGAACGGAAAGGCCCUGCUUUUGUGGGGGGCUCGAGUGGCGAAAGGGUGAGUAACACGUGAGUAACCUGCCCUUUACUUUGGGAUAACUUCAGGGAACUGGGGCUAAUACCGGAUAGGAGCUCCUGCUGCCUGGUGGGGGUUGGAAAGGUUCGGCGGUUGGGGAUGGACUCGCGGCUUAUCAGCUUGUUGGUGGGGUAGUGGCUUACCAAGGCUUUGACGGGUAGCCGGCCUGAGAGGGUGACCGGCCACAUUGGGACUGAGAUACGGCCCAGACUCCUACGGGAGGCAGCAGUGGGGAAUAUUGCACAAUGGGCGGAAGCCUGAUGCAGCAACGCCGCGUGCGGGAUGACGGCCUUCGGGUUGUAAACCGCUUUCGCCUGUGACGAAGCGUGAGUGACGGUAAUGGGUAAAGAAGCACCGGCUAACUACGUG
rnacentral:rRNA from 1 species